UGUGUGUUUUUUGUUUUUGUAUUAGUCUUGUUGAGCUUCAUUCUUUUUGUUUUGAUAAAUUAUAACUUAGAACAGAAGAAUAGAUAGCAGAUGAUCAAUUUAACCCAUCCACUCCAUAGUAUAUACAUGUAUCUUGAUUUACCCUUUCACCAUUGCAAAUUCAUGUACCGGUAUAUGUAUUUGUUGAUGUAGGUUGUUAAAGUACAUGUAGAUCAGUUUAUAUUCUAUUGUCAAUUCAUUUCUCCAUUAUUAAAUACAUUAUGAUAUUAUUUUUCCUAGAAGGAUUAAUGUACACAUUUUUAACAGUAACUUUAGUUCAUUUGAUAUUGAUCAGAAUAAUUUUUUUGGCCCCAGAUAGUGACAUUAUUAAGAUAGUACAUGUGUUUAAAGGCAUGUCACAUGUACAUAGUUUUGGUUGAUUGAUUAAAACAUUACAGUAGCAAUGCAUUUGAAUAUUUAGUAAUGUGUGGACUAAAAAACUUAAUUAAGUAGUUCCCCAUUUUGUGUCUUUUGCAGUUAAUUAUCAAUUGAUUUCUUGCAUUUUAGUUUUUAAGAAUGUAUUUUGUGUACUUGUAUGUUGCCAAAUUGCAAAUGUGAAAUAAAAUUAUUUGAGUUGU
rnacentral:misc_RNA from 1 species